AGUGAACGCUGGCGGCGUGCCUAAUACAUGCAAGUCGAACGGAGUGGCGCACGGGUGCGUAAUGUAUAGCUAAUCUGCCCUACACUCGUGGACAACCGUUGGAAACGACUGCCAAUACUCUCUAGUGUAGGAUGAGGCUAUAUUGUAUCAGCUAGUUGGUAAGGUAAUGGCUCACCAAUGCUAUGAAGCAUAACUGGUCUGAGAGGAUGGUCAGUGACAAGGAAACUAAGACACGGAUCAGACUACUACGGUAGGCAGCAGAAGGGAAUAUUGCUAAAUGGGGAAAACCCUGAGGAAGCAACGCGGCGUGGGUGAUGACACAUUUCGGAGCGUAAACUCCUUAUGUUAGGGAAGCGGUACCUAACGAAUAAGCACCGGCUAACUCCGUGCCAGCAGCCGCGGUAAUAC
rnacentral:rRNA from 1 species